GAUGAACGCUAGCGGCAGGCUUAAUACAUGCAAGUCGAGGGGCAGCACAGAUAGCAAUAUUGGGUGGCGACCGGCAAACGGGUGCGGAACACGUACACAACCUUCCUUUUAGUGUGGGAUAGCCCAGAGAAAUUUGGAUUAAUACCACAUAGUAUAUUGGAGUGGCAUCACUUUGAUAUUAAAGAUUUAUCGCUAAAAGAUGGGUGUGCGUAUGAUUAGGUAGUUGGUAGAGGUAACGGCUCACCAAGCCUUCGAUCAUUAACUGGUGUGAGAGCACGACCAGUCACACGGGCACUGAGACACGGGCCCGACUCCUACGGGAGGCAGCAGUAAGGAAUAUUGGUCAAUGGACGGAAGUCUGAACCAGCCAUGCCGCGUGAAGGAUGACGGCCCUCUGGGUUGUAAACUUCUUUUAUGUGGGACGAAAAAGGGCCAUUUUUGGUCAACUGACGGUACCAUAGGAAUAAGCACCGGCUAACUCCGUGCCAGCCGCCGCAGUAA
rnacentral:rRNA from 1 species